rnacentral:piRNA from 1 species
UUGAAAACGCUAAAAUUCAUC